rnacentral:rRNA from 1 species
UUUAUGGAGAGUUUGAUCCUGGCUCAGGAUGAACGCUGGCGGCGUGCCUAAUACAUGCAAGUCGAGCGAACGGACGAGAAGCUUGCUUCUCUGAUGUUAGCGGCGGACGGGUGAGUAAAACGUGGAUAACCUACCUAUAAGACUGGGAUAACUUCGGGAAACCGGAGCUAAUACCGGAUAAUAUUUUGAACCGCAUGGUUCAAAAGUGAAAGACGGUUUUGCUGUCACUUAUAGAUGGAUCCGCGCUGCAUUAGCUAGUUGGUAAGGUAACGGCUUACCAAGGCAACGAUGCAUAGCCGACCUGAGAGGGUGAUCGGCCACACUGGAACUGAGACACGGUCCAGACUCCUACGGGAGGCAGCAGUAGGGAAUCUUCCGCAAUGGGCGAAAGCCUGACGGAGCAACGCCGCGUGAGUGAUGAAGGUCUUCGGAUCGUAAAACUCUGUUAUUAGGGAAGAACAUAUGUGUAAGUAACUGUGCACAUCUUGACGGUACCUAAUCAGAAAGCCACGGCUAACUACGUGCCAGCAGCCGCGGUAAUACGUAGGUGGCAAGCGUUAUCCGGAAUUAUUGGGCGUAAAGCGCGCGUAGGCGGUUUUUUAAGUCUGAUGUGAAAGCCCACGGCUCAACCGUGGAGGGUCAUUGGAAACUGGAAAACUUGAGUGCAGAAGAGGAAAGUGGAAUUCCAUGUGUAGCGGUGAAAUGCGCAGAGAUAUGGAGGAACACCAGUGGCGAAGGCGACUUUCUGGUCUGUAACUGACGCUGAUGUGCGAAAGCGUGGGGAUCAAACAGGAUUAGAUACCCUGGUAGUCCACGCCGUAAACGAUGAGUGCUAAGUGUUAGGGGGUUUCCGCCCCUUAGUGCUGCAGCUAACGCAUUAAGCACUCCGCCUGGGGAGUACGACCGCAAGGUUGAAACUCAAAGGAAUUGACGGGGACCCGCACAAGCGGUGGAGCAUGUGGUUUAAUUCGAAGCAACGCGAAGAACCUUACCAAAUCUUGACAUCCUUUGACAACUCUAGAGAUAGAGCCUUCCCCUUCGGGGGACAAAGUGACAGGUGGUGCAUGGUUGUCGUCAGCUCGUGUCGUGAGAUGUUGGGUUAAGUCCCGCAACGAGCGCAACCCUUAAGCUUAGUUGCCAUCAUUAAGUUGGGCACUCUAAGUUGACUGCCGGUGACAAACCGGAGGAAGGUGGGGAUGACGUCAAAUCAUCAUGCCCCUUAUGAUUUGGGCUACACACGUGCUACAAUGGACAAUACAAAGGGCAGCGAAACCGCGAGGUCAAGCAAAUCCCAUAAAGUUGUUCUCAGUUCGGAUUGUAGUCUGCAACUCGACUACAUGAAGCUGGAAUCGCUAGUAAUCGUAGAUCAGCAUGCUACGGUGAAUACGUUCCCGGGUCUUGUACACACCGCCCGUCACACCACGAGAGUUUGUAACACCCGAAGCCGGUGGAGUAACCUUUUAGGAGCUAGCCGUCGAAGGUGGGACAAAUGAUUGGGGUGAAGUCGUAACAAGGUAGCCGUAUCGGAAGGUGCGGCUGGAUCACCUCCUUUCU